ensembl:lncRNA
CUCAAAUGAAAGCUCAUGUGAUGCAAAAUGCUUGCCACAGUCAGCAAUAUUUGAACACAAUGAACACACCUGGCGUCAUUCGUUACACACAACGACUCAAAAUUGAAGACACUUGUUGCUAAUGCUGUGACCACAUGUAUAAAAGCAAGUUCAGAGUGCACAGUUUGCUGAAGAUUCCAAACAAACACAAUGGAUGAAGGCAGAGUCAGGGGAAGAGGAAUUCGAGUCAGAGGAGGGAGAAGAGCUGGCCAUGGAAGAAGAGGAGCAGGCCAACGAGGAAGAGGAGUUCAAAUCAGAGGAGGAAGAGGAGCAGGCCAACAAGGGAGAGGAGAAGGUCCAGGAGGGAGAGCAAGACAACCUCGCACCAUCAUUACGGACGAGAUGCGAGCAACAGUCAUUGACCAUGUCAUUGUCCAUGGCAUGACAAUGGCUGAAGCAGGACUAUGAGUCCGUCCAAACCUGAGUAGGUUCACCGUGGCCACCAUUAUCAGGGCAUUCAGACAACACAACAGAGUUGAAAGAAUGCCACAUAGAGGUGGGAGGGUUGCCAUAUUUACAGCGGCACAAGAAACCCUCAUUGUGGAUAUGGUUCGUGAGAACAACCUCAUCAGACUCCGGGAGAUCCGAGACAAAGUCAUUGCCGAUAAUGUCAACUUUGAGAGCAUUGAUGAUGUCAGCUUGGCCACAAUAGACUGAGUUCUCAGGCGCCAAAAGAUGCGGAUGAAACAGGUCUAUAGGGUUCCCUUUGAGCGCAACUCUGCGCGACACAAAGACCUAAAGUUACGAGUAUGUGCAA